rnacentral:rRNA from 1 species
AGUGAACGCUGGCGGUAGGCCUAACACAUGCAAGUCGAACGGCAGCACAGUAAGAGCUUGCUCUUACGGGUGGCGAGUGGCGGACGGGUGAGGAAUACAUCGGAAUCUACUUUUUCGUGGGGGAUAACGUAGGGAAACUUACGCUAAUACCGCAUACGGCCUACGGGUGAAAGCAGGGGAUCUUCGGACCUUGCGCGAUUGAAUGAGCCGAUGUCGGAUUAGCUAGUUGGCGGGGUAAAGGCCCACCAAGGCGACGAUCCGUAGCUGGUCUGAGAGGAUGAUCAGCCACACUGGAACUGAGACACGGUCCAGACCCCUACGGGAGGCAGCAGUGGGGAAUAUUGGACAAUGGGCGCAAGCCUGAUCCAGCCAUACCGCGUGGGUGAAGAAGGCCUUCGGGUUGUAAAGCCCUUUUGUUGGGAAAGAAAAGCAGCAGGUUAAUACCCCGCUGUUCUGACGGUACCCAAAGAGUAAGCACCGGCUAACUUCGUG